rnacentral:lncRNA from 1 species
AUCUUCUUUGGAAAGUCAAGAGCUACUUUCCUUAAUUCCUGUAAUUAUUCGGCUGUUUCAUCUGAGAGACAGCAUCAAUGGAAGAAGUCUCCACUGGCAGAACUAUAGUCAUUUCUAAUCCAUGAAUCUAGACAUAAAAUGCCUAAUAACUAAAAAGUGGCAGAAAAGAGCAUAAAGGCUACAUACCAAAUUGAAAGCACCAAAAAUAUCUACAUAUGAGAUUAACUGUAAAUGAAAUAGAAGACAACGAUAGCAGGCACCAUGCUAUAGUGAAUGGAGUAUGGACUUGGCCUUCCACAGACCCAGUUUCAAAUCCUGUGACCACUUCUAGCCGGGAAAGAAACAUGGUGGCCACAAAAAGAAACAAAGACUCAACCAUUUAAAAUGAAGGAUCUCAUAAAUAUUGAUGAACAAAAUUGACCUGAUAGAAAAUCAUGGACUCGCCUCUUUCAAUAUGAAAAUUUGAACUUGCACAAACAAUUCAGCAAGGCUGUAUUUUCCUGAAAAUGAUGAAAGUCAUUGCUCAUCAGAGAUUGUCAUUAAAAUGAGGUCUUUUUGUACCUGAGGAAAGACAUCUUGAUGCUGCUGGCUCAGAGAGAUUUGGAAAAAUACAUCAAAAUAAAUGAGGCACCAUUACCACCCAGCCUGCCACGACUUUCAAAGGAUUAAACUACAAAUCCAU